rnacentral:lncRNA from 10 species
CGCCAUUCUCCUGCCUCAGCCUCCUGAUUAACUGGGACUGCAGAAGCCCACCACCACACCCGGCUAAUCUUUUGUGUUUUUAGUAGAGACGGGGUUUCAUCCUGUUAGCCAGGAUGGUCUCGAUCUCCUGACCUCGUGAUCUGCCCGCCUCCGCAUCCCAAAGUGCUGGGAUUGCAGGCUUGAGCCACCGCACCUGGCCACAUUCAAGAUACUUUUCUCUUGUCUCCUGGCUUCUAAUGUUGCAGUGAAGAAGUCAGCUACAAAUCUAAUUGCCGUUUCUUUAUGUUAACCAGCUGUGAAUGGAACCUUACAGAGUCCAAGAAUCACACUAAUACUCACGUAUUCAUGGGAGGCCUAGAACCAAGGCUCACAGCUGUAAGAAACUUGGCCUUGAGUCUCAGAUGAGACUUUGGACUUCAGACUUUGGGUUGAUGCUGGAACAAGUUGACUUUUGGGGACUAUCAAGAUGGAAUGAUUGUAUUUUGCAAUGAGAGAAGAGUAUGAGUUUUGGGAGGGCCAGGGGUGAAAUGCUAUGGUUUGAGGCUUCCAAAUCUCAUGUUGAAAUUUGAUCUCCAGUGUUGGAGGUGGGGCCUAAUAGGGUGUGUUUGGGUCAUGGGGGCAGAUAUCUCUGAAUGGCUUGGUGCAGUCCUUGUGGUAAUGAGUUGAGUUCUUGCUCUAUCAGUUCCCAUGGGAGCCUAUUGUUAAAAAGUCCAUCACUUCCCUCUCUUUCUCUCUCACCAUGUGAUCUCUGCACACAUGCCAGCUCCCCUUCUCUUUCCACCAUGAGUGGAACCAGCCUGAGGUCCUCACCAGAAGCUGAUGCUGGUGCCAUGCUUCUUGUACAGCCUGCAGAACCGUAGGCCAAAUAAACCUCUUUUCUUAUAAAUUACCAGCCUCAGAUAUUCCUUUAUAGCAACACAAAUGGACUAAGACAAAUAUGUAUAUUUGUAUAACAUGAGUUCAUAAUUUACUUGUGAUUUUUAAUGUUUAAAACCCAUA